CCUACGGGUGGCAGCAGUGGGGAAUAUUGCACAAUGGGGGAAACCCUGAUGCAGCGACGCCGCGUGAGUGAAGAAGUAAUUCGUUAUGUAAAGCUCUAUCAGCAGGGAAGAAAAUGACGGUACAUGAGUAAGAAGCCCUGGCUAACUACGUACCAGCAGCCGCGGUCAUACGUAGGGGCGACGCGUUAUCCGGAUUUACUGGGUGAAAAGGGAGCGUAGGCGGUAGUGCAAGUCUGGAGUGAAAGGCCGGGGCUCAACCCCCGGACUGCUCUGGAAACUGUACGUCUGGAGUGCAGGAGAGGUAAGUGGAAUUCCUAGUGUAGCGGUGAAAUGCGUAGAUAUUAGGAGGAACACCAGUGGCGAAGGCGGCUUACUGGACUGUAACUGACGUUGAGGCUCGAAAGCGUGGGGAGCAAACAGGAUUAGAUACCCGGGUAGUC
rnacentral:rRNA from 1 species